UAUACAAACGAUACAGUUUAAUUAUAUUAGUAAAAUUAAUUGAUAUUAGAAAUUUAUGGUUAAGUUAUAAGGUGGAAUUUUAAAUUAAUAUAAAGUUAAAUUAUUGAUAUGGAGUUUAGAAAUUUUAUUUAUAAACUAGGAUUAGAUACCCUAUUAUUAGAAUUGUAAUUUUUAAAACUAAAUUAGUAGUAGUUAUGUUCUUGAAAAUUAAAUUUUUUGGCGGUAUUUUAUCCUAUUCAGAGGAACCUGUUCUGUAAAUGGUUCUCCACGGUUUAAUUUACCUUUUUUAAUAUUAAUCUAAACGUCGUCGUAAUAUGUUUAUAUAGAAAGAAUUUGAAUAGUUCAGUUUUAAAAUAAUUAUGCAAAUCAGAGCGUGGUGUAGUUUAUAGUUAAGAUGGGAUGGGAUACUUUAAUUUUAGGUUGCGUAAAGGAUGAUAAUAAAAGUUGGAUUUGGGUUUUGAAGGAAAUUAAAAAAAUUUAUUUAUAAGAUUUGAGCUCAAAAAUGUGC
rnacentral:rRNA from 1 species